GUCCACCGUCAUUCACUUUCUCAAUAUGCAAAUUCUCAAUUGUGCCCGUUAUGGCGGCAUUUGCUCUGUUUGCCUCCCUGCAAAAACCUAAACCCUGGACACCUCCAUCAGAUCAGAAACCAAAAUGCGUAUUUUCAUUUCCUUCAUUCUCCUCAAAUUCAAUACCAAAACCCUAAAAUCUGUACAAUCCACUCCCUACAACCUCACUUUCAUGAAGUCAAUGUCCCAAUCCACUUCCAUUCCCAGAAAGCAGCAGCGAGUGCGCGACUAUGGCUACGACAAUUACAUGGAAAUCGAGAAGAAAACCCGCAAGGUCCUCAAGUUCCAGUCCCUAAUUCUAUCCCAAAUCAACCAAAAUGUACCAAUUUCUCGCCUUGACAAUCUCGCUCGCCGCCUCGGUUUUAAACUGUACGAGGCCGGCUCUUUUGUAUUGAAAUUCCCCCACGUCUUCGAAGUCUAUGAGCAUCCUGUUCAACGGAUCCUCUACUGUCGUUUAACCCGCAAAGCCCUUCUUCAAAUUCAACAAGAAAAGGAAGCCUUGAUUGCCCAGAUACCCGAUGCUGUCACCCGCUUAAGGAAACUGAUAAUGAUGUCGAACACUGGUCGGCUGCGAUUGGAGCAUGUAAGGAUUGCCAGGUCUGAAUUUGGAUUGCCUGAUGAUUUUGAGUACUCUGUUGUUCUUAAAAAUCCUCAGUAUUUUAGACUAAUAGAUGCUGAUGAAACGAGGAAUAAGUAUAUAGAGAUUGUUGACAGAGACCUCAAAUUAGCUGUUUGCGCAAUAGAGAAAGCUAGGGAGAGAGAGUACAGGGAGAAAGGGAUGAAUGCUGAGGAUAUUCGGUUUUCGUUUAUCAUCAAUUUUCCUCCCGGGUUUAAGAUAGGAAAGUAUUACAGGAUUGCAGUGUGGAAAUGGCAAAGAACACCGUAUUGGUCACCUUAUGAGGAUAUUUCUGGAUAUGAUUUGAGGUCAAUUGAGGCUCAGAAGAGGUUGGAGAAGAGAGCAGUAGCAACUAUUCAUGAAUUGUUGUCAUUGACAGUGGAGAAGAAAAUCACACUGGAGAGGAUAGCACAUUUUAGAAUGGCUAUGAAUUUGCCUAACAAGUUGAAGGAAUUUUGCCUUCAGCAUCAGGGGAUAUUUUAUGUCUCAACAAGAGGGAAUCAUGGUAAGCUGCAUACAGUGUUUCUUAGGGAGGCUUAUAAGAAAGGGGAAUUGGUAGAGCCAAAUGAUUUGUAUUUAGCGAGGAGGAAGUUGGGUGAGUUAGUUUUGAUAAGUCCAAGGAAGGCAAAAGUGGAUGCAGAGCUGGUUAGCUAUAGAAGGGAUAGAGAAGGUGAUGAAUUGGAGCAACUUGGAAGAGACUACGUGGAAAAUAAUUUUGAGGCUAGCAAGGAUGUGCAAGAUGGAGAGUAUGAGGAUGAUUUGAACUCAGACUUGGACAGCGAUGUUGGCACUGAUUAUACUGAUAAUGAUUUUUCAGUAUUACCACGUAUAUAACAGGAGGAUUAGGCUAUGAUUUUGCUUAGCUUGUUUCACUUUCAGCCCUGUACAUGAAUUUUUGUUCUGGGAACAUGUUAUGUAUUGAGGUCAAGGCUGGGGAGCCUGUCAAAGUAACACCUUAUCCUGAAACCAUCAUACAUCUCUCUCAGGGGAGUCGAAGAAAGGAAAUGAAUCAGUGCCCCUUUUUCUAAAGAUUGAUUGAUGAUAAGAAGAUUGUAUUGGGAACUCUUUCUCCUGAAAACAUCCCUCAGUUGCCUUUUGAUUUGGUUUUUGAAAGAGAGGUUGAGCUAUCUCACAACUGGAAAAGUGGGAGUGUCUACUUCUGUGGUUAUAAAAGUCAAUUGCCAGAAGAAGA